UUUUUCAGGAGUAUGACGAGCCAAGACCUGACAAAAACCUGGAUGAACUUCAGAUCAACAGUUUGAAGGUUCAGCGUGUUCUCAGCUCACACAAGGAAAAGCUGCAGAGUGUGACAUUAAUGUCGGCAGAGCUGAGCAAUGACAUCGCCAAAGUGAGGCAGAUGCUGGCAAAAAUAGAGGAGGAGUUAGAGCAUGCUGAGAAGGAGCAUUCAGCGGCUGAAGCCUUUAACCACAAACUCAGACGGCAGCUCAGAGAUUAUCAGGCUCCUGAUAUCACCGAGUACAUGCAUGUCAAAGACAAAUACA